rnacentral:tRNA from 1 species
GGCCCCGUCAUCUAACGGUUAGGAUACGGCCCUUUCAAGGCCGCGAUACGGGUUCGAAUCCCGUCGGGGUCACCA